UACGUAGGGGGCUAGCGUUGUCCGGAUUUAUUGGGCGUAAAGAGCGUGUAGGCGGCCAGGCAGGUCCGUUGUGAAAACUCGAGGCUCAACCUCGAGACGUCGAUGGAAACCGUCUGGCUAGAGUCCGGAAGAGGAGAGUGGAAUUCCUGGUGUAGCGGUGAAAUGCGCAGAUAUCAGGAAGAACACCCGUGGCGAAAGCGGCUCUCUGGAACGGUACUGACGCUGAGACGCGAAAGCGUGGGAGCGAACAGG
rnacentral:rRNA from 1 species